rnacentral:rRNA from 1 species
GGGGGGGGCGGGGGGGGGGGUGGGCGGGGGGGGGGCGGGCGGGAGGGCCCGGCGUUUGUGGGGUGCUCGAGUGGCGAACGGGUGAGUAACACGUGAGUAACCUGCCCUUGACUUUGGGAUAACUUCAGGAAACUGGGGCUAAUACCGGAUAGGAGCUCCUGCUGCAUGGUGGGGGUUGGAAAGUUUCGGCGGUUGGGGAUGGACUCGCGGCUUAUCAGCUUGUUGGUGGGGUAGUGGCUUACCAAGGCUUUGACGGGUAGCCGGCCUGAGAGGGUGACCGGCCACAUUGGGACUGAGAUACGGCCCAGACUCCUACGGGAGGCAGCAGUGGGGAAUAUUGCACAAUGGGCGGAAGCCUGAUGCAGCAACGCCGCGUGCGGGAUGACGGCCUUCGGGUUGUAAACCGCUUUCGCCUGUGACGAAGCGUGAGUGACGGUAAUGGGUAAAGAAGCACCGGCUAACUACGUG